rnacentral:lncRNA from 1 species
UUAGAUGCAGGGUCUAUUUUUCCUUGAGGCAGGGUGAGUUCCUGAGCAGAGGAGGCACAGAACUCCCGGCCAUCUCUUGCAGAUUGGCGCGCUGCACCCUCUGCCCUGGAUCCAAUGUUCACUCGCCAGAGCUGUCCUGUGCUCCUGGAUGGCAAAUACUGUUUAUUCCUACGGGUGGGUGUGGGGCUACCCAGAGGGGCCACCUGCAGAUCAGUGAUGUGGGGACCAUGCCCGAUGAAGGCGGGUGGCCUUUAGAGACUUGGAACAGACCCAUAGUUCUCUUUGACACAGUGUGCAGUUGUGUAGCUGGACUGGGAGGAAGCAGGGAGCCAUGUCCAAACCCUUCCUUUGGGUUUUGCGAGCUCACUGUCAGGAAGGUGGCUCAAUACCAGUGACCAUGUUUUCAAGGUCUCACAACAAACACAGCAAUCUUUGGAACUUUGCCCCAAGAGAACGUCAGCUCUUUUUUUUCAAUCAAAUUCUACUCACGUGUUAGUCUUGUCUUUCCUUCCUUCUUGCCUUUACUUUGUCCCUCCCUUCCUAUUUCUCUGUCUCUUCUGUAUUUCUUUCCCCUUGGUAAUUGUGUGAGAGAAAUGUGAAUAGGCUGCUUUAAAACACAUGACAGUAAAGUGUGCACAGGACUACAUUAAUUUGUUAAAAAGCCAAUCAUCGUUUCCGUGUCUCCUGACAAAUGGAUGCACAGCAUUUCUUCAACAUCAUUCUGGUAAUGAUCAAAUAUGAGCUGAUAGUCUGCGAUCUCCCAGGCAGUCACCUGGGCCAUGAAGAAUCACAGAUAGAAGAAGGCACUAACUCUGUCAUCCAGCCACUCUCAGAUGUGUAUCCUGAGUCUUGCCGAUACUGAACUGUUUGCGUUCUGACCUUCCCUCCAAGGAGAGCAUGCUUUCCAUUGCUGCAAGUGAAUGGCUAAACAAGCAGGACUUCAUGAAUGGACUCAGUGUGAACCUGUUGGGGGUCAUCGAGGUGACUCUGAGCCUGCUGCCCUUAGUAAGAAAAGCACAAGGCCAUGUGGUCCAUGUCUCCAGUGUCACGAGCCAGUUGUCGCUUUUUGGUGGUGGCUACUGCAUCUCCAAGCACUGU